AUGGUGGCGAGGGGGGAAAUGGCAAGAUUCUGGAGUCUGGAGAGCCUUCACCCGGUUUCUUCCGAUGGAGGUGCGGAGCCGUCUGCCCUAGUGGACGACAACGGCAGCGAGGAGGACUUCAGCUACGAGGACCUGUGUCGGGCCAACCCCCGAUACCUGCAGCCGGGUGGGGAGCAGCUGGCCAUCAACGAGCUGAUCGGCGAUGGCAGCGUGGUCUGCGCGGAGGCCCUGUGGGACCACGUGACCAUGGACGAACAGGAGCUGGGCUUCAAGGCGGGGGACGUCAUCCAGGUCCUGGAGGCUUCGCACAAGGACUGGUGGUGGGGCCGCAGCGCAGACAGGGAGGCAUGGUUCCCGGCCAGCUUCGUUCGGGGCUACAUUAGACAGUGUCGUAAGCAUACGGCAAUGUUCUCGGUUGCACAACUGGCCACCAUUUUCGGAAACAUUGAAGACAUUUACAGAUUCCAAAGAAAGUUCUUGAAAGACCUUGAGAAGCAGUACAAUAAAGAGGAACCUCACCUGAGUGAAAUAGGGUCCUGCUUCCUUCAGCACCAAGAGGGCUUCGCCAUCUACUCGGAGUAUUGCAACAACCACCCGGGCGCCUGCGCGGAGCUGGCAGGCCUGAUGCGGCAGCGCCGCUACCGGCACUUCUUCGAGGCCUGCCGGUUGCUCCAGCAGAUGAUCGACAUCGCGCUGGACGGCUUCCUGCUGACGCCCGUGCAGAAGAUCUGCAAGUACCCGCUGCAGCUGGCCGAGCUGCUCAAGUACACCGCGCCGGAGCACAGUGAUUACGAAAAUAUAAAGGCAGCAUACGAGGCCAUGAAGAAUGUUGCCUGCCUGAUCAAUGAGCGGAAACGCAAGCUGGAGAGCAUAGACAAGAUCGCGCGGUGGCAGGUGUCCAUCGUGGGCUGGGAGGGCCAGGACCUCCUGGAGCGCAGCUCGGAGCUGAUCCACUCCGGGGAGCUGACCAGCGUCACGCGGCAGGGCAGGAGCCAGCAGCGCACCUUCUUCCUGUUCGACCACCAGCUGGUGUUCUGCAAGAAGGACCUGCUGCGCAGGGACGUGCUCUACUACCGCGGCCGCACCGACACAGACACCGUCGAGCUGGUGGACCUGGAAGACGGCCGCGACGGUGCCCGCGGGCCGGGCCUCAGGAACGCCUUCAGGCUGGCCAGCCGCACGGGCGACGAGGUGCACCUGUUCUGCGCCAGGAAGCCCGAGGACAAGGCACGGUGGCUGCAGGCCUUCAGGGACGAGCGCCGGCGGGUGCAGGAGGACCGGGCGCUGGGAAUGGAAAUUUCAGAAAAUCAGAAGAAACUCGCCAUGUUAAAUGCUCAAAAGGCAGCACACGGAAAGUCAAAAGGCUACGGCGGCUGCCCCACGGCCCCCCCGCUCCAGAGCCUGCGGCCGGUUCACCAGCGCCACGUCACCGUGCCCAGCAGCCUGCCGCAGCAGCAGGUGUUCGCCCUGGCCGAGCCCAAGAGGAAGCCGUCGCUCUUCUGGCACACCUUCAACAAGCUCGCCCCCUUCAGGAAGUGA
rnacentral:lncRNA from 1 species